AAAUUGAAGAGUUUGAUCAUGGCUCAGAUUGAACGCUGGCGGCAGGCCUAACACAUGCAAGUCGAACGGUAACAGGAAGCAGCUUGCUGCUUUGCUGACGAGUGGCGGACGGGUGAGUAAUGUCUGGGAAACUGCCUGAUGGAGGGGGAUAACUACUGGAAACGGUAGCUAAUACCGCAUAACGUCGCAAGACCAAAGAGGGGGACCUUCGGGCCUCUUGCCAUCGGAUGUGCCCAGAUGGGAUUAGCUAGUAGGUGGGGUAAAGGCUCACCUAGGCGACGAUCCCUAGCUGGUCUGAGAGGAUGACCAGCCACACUGGAACUGAGACACGGUCCAG
rnacentral:rRNA from 1 species